rfam:Oryza meridionalis cultivar OR44 (W2112) chromosome 1, whole genome shotgun sequence.
UAUCAGUGCAGCUGUGAAUUUCUAUCUUACAUUUGACUAUCUGUUUUAUUUAAAAAUAUUUUAUAUUUAGUAUUUUUAUGUUUAUUAGGUGAUAAAACAGAAAUAAUACUUUAUACAUGAUUUAUUAUUUUUAAACUUUUUAUAAUUUUUUUAAAUAAUACAGACGAUUAAACGUUAGAUAUAGAAACCCACAACUACACUUAAA